UACGUACGCACGCGUUUACUGGUGCAUGUAUACAGCUAAGAGGUACCACAUCCACGUUAGACCGUUGUCAUAAACGAGCUGAAUGUUGUGAAACGAAGGUGAAGAAAGAAGAGAACCGACGGGAAGUCAGGCAGAAAAAGAGCGAGAAAUAAAUCGAGAAA